AGAAACGUGCAGAAGUUUCUAUGUACAUAUAGUUAGAACAUAAACCUAGUGAGCUAUAUCACAAUACUAAAAGGAGAAUAAGAGUUUCAAUUAGACUGUGCACGUAUUCAAAUUAAAUCAACCUAUCACAAGUUGCCAUGUCAGCAUCAUUGUCAAGUUACCUUUCGUCUCCGUUAUCUUCCUUCAGCCGGCAAAACCUAAAGACACCGGUUAAAAAUCCGAUCUAUCUUCCACGUCCUAUUUUGUCUUCCAUCUAUUACUGCUUCAUUAAUGUGAAUAACCUCACAAUUUCACUACCGCAUUCACUUUCCUCCCUCUCUCCCUUUUCUAUAUAUAAUCGAUUGGAUGAUCGCCUUUAAACCAUUGGAUCAUUGUCCGUUUCAGUAUGCCCCUGAUUUUCAGAAAUACCUUUCUUCUCUUCUGAGCAGCAUAUCUGACGUCAGAGAUGUGGGCGAAGCUCUCAAACGAUUUACAUCUAUUCAGAUCCAACGGCUGCGGAAACGUUUGCAUUGAAAAAAGUUCUUCCUGUAGAAAAAGUCAGCAGCUGGGGCUGAGACAGUAGGAUCUCUUUCAUGUUGAUCAUACAAGCUUGCGAUAUAGAGCUCGAAAACAAAGCCAAAGAAGUGGCAGAGCUGAAAACAGAGAGGCUGACCUAGAGAGAAUUUCGAGGCUGAAACAUGCAGAGGCAGACAUAUCCUCAUCUAAAAGACAACGAAGCAAAGCGGAGGCAUAUUGGUGGAUCAUUUGUAACAUCAGUAUUUGAUUUGCUAAGGCCAUCG